rnacentral:lncRNA from 1 species
GGUGCUUUGUGCUCAUGGCCCUGAGGUGGAAUGGAGAAUCUGUACAAUAUGGGAAGCAGCUUAUGGCCUGAUUCCUUUAAGUUCCUCAGCAGUUGAUCUUCCUGAAAUUAUAGUUGCUACUCCAUUGCAACCUCCCAUAUUAUCAUGGAACCUAUACAUCCCUCUCCUUAAAGUCCUGGAAUAUCUUCCUCGUGGGAGUCCUUCAGAGGCAUGUCUCAUGAAGAUAUUUGUUGCCACUGUCGAAGCAAUUAUUAAAAGAACCUUCCCACCUGAGUCCUCUCCAGAAAACACUCGAAGGGCAAGGCAUCUCUCGGGCAUAGGAUCUGCCUCUAAAAAUCUUGCUGUGGCAGAGCUUCGAACAAUGGUCCAUUCACUUUUUUUAGAAUCAUGUGCCUCUGUGGAGCUUGCAUCACGCCUACUAUUUAUUGUCUUAACUGUGUGUGUUAGUCAUGAAGCUCAGUCCAAUGGGAGCAAGAAACCAAGAGGUGAAGAAAAUUAUUUUCCUGAUGAAAGCACCGAGGACUUACAGAAAGAUCUGAGAACUAGAAAGGUGAAAAGACAAGGGCCUGUAGCAGCAUUUGAUUCAUAUGUUUUGGCUGCUGUCUGUGCUCUUGCUUGUG